rnacentral:rRNA from 1 species
GACAGAGGUUGCAAACGUUGUUCGGAAUUACUGGGCAUAAAGCGCACGUAGGCGGUCCGUUAAGUCAUGUGUGAAAUCCCCCGGCUCAACCGUGGAACUGCUGGGUAUACUGGCGGUCUUGAGCCACCUAGGGGCGAGCGGAACAAGCGGUGGAGCGGUGAAAUGCGUAGAUAUCGCUUGGAACGCCGACGGUGAAAACAGCUCGCUGGGGGUGUGCUGACGCUGAGACACGAAAGCCAGGGGAGCGAACGGG